rnacentral:rRNA from 1 species
GCAGCAGCCGCGGUAAUACAGAGGGUGCGAGCGUUAAUCGGAUUUACUGGGCGUAAAGCGUGCGUAGGCGGCUUCUUAAGUCGGAUGUGAAAUCCCUGAGCUUAACUUAGGAAUUGCAUUCGAUACUGGGAAGCUAGAGUAUGGGAGAGGAUGGUAGAAUUCCAGGUGUAGCGGUGAAAUGCGUAGAGAUCUGGAGGAAUACCGAUGGCAAAGGCAGCCAUCUGGCCUAAUACUGACGCUGAGGUACGAAAGCAUGGGGAGCAAACAGGAUUAGAUACCCCUGUAGUCCCUGUCUCUUAUAC